UACGAAGGGGGCUAGCGUUGUUCGGAAUUACUGGGCGUAAAGGGCGCGUAGGCUGUGCUGUAAGUCAGGCGUGAAAGCCCCGGGCUCAACCUGGGAAUUGCGCUUGAUACUGCGGCGCUGGAAGGUGGGAGAGGAUGGCGGAAUUCCCAGUGUAGAGGUGAAAUUCGUAGAUAUCAGGAGGAACACCGGUGGCGAAGGCGGGUCUCUGGGCAGUAACUGACGCUGAGGAGCGAAAGCGUGGGGAGCGAACAGG
rnacentral:rRNA from 1 species